rnacentral:rRNA from 1 species
AUUGAACGCUGGCUGCAGGCCUAACACAUGCAAGUCGAACGAGUGGCGGACGGGUGAGUAAUGUCUGGGAAACUGCCUGAUGGAGGGGGAUAACUACUGUAAACGGUAGCUAAUACCGCAUACCAUCGGAUGUUCCCAGAUGGGAUUAGCUAGUAGGUGGGGUAAAGGCUCCCCAAGGCGACGGUCCCUAGCUGGACUGAGAGGAUUACCGGGCAAGAGGGAACUGAGACACGGUACAGACUCCUACGGGAGGAAGCAGUGGGGAAUAUUGCACAGUGGGCGCAAGCCUGAUGCAGCCAUGCCGCGUGUAUGAAGAAGGCGUUCGGGUUGUAAAGUACUUUCAGCGGGGAGGCGUUACCCGCAGAAGAAGCACCGGCGAACUCCGUGCCAGCAGCCGCGGUAAUA